rnacentral:rRNA from 1 species
AUUGAACGCUGGCGGCAGGCCUAACACAUGCAAGUCGAGCGGCAGCGGGAAAGUAGCUUGCUACUUUUGCCGGCGAGCGGCGGACGGGUGAGUAAUGCCUGGGGAUCUGCCCAGUCGAGGGGGAUAACUACUGGAAACGGUAGCUAAUACCGCAUACGCCCUACGGGGGAAAGCAGGGGACCUUCGGGCCUUGCGCGAUUGGAUGAACCCAGGUGGGAUUAGCUAGUUGGUGAGGUAACGGCUCACCAAGGCAACGAUCCCUAGCUGGUCUGAGAGGAUGAUCAGCCACACUGGAACGGGGACACGGUCCAGACUCCUACGGGAGGCAGCAGUGGGGAAUAUUGCACAAUGGGGGAAACCCUGAUGCAGCCAUGCCGCGUGUGUGAAGAAGGCCUUCGGGUUGUAAAGCACUUUUAGCGAGGAGGAAAGGUCAGUAGCUAAUAUCUGCUGGCUGUGACGUUACUCGCAGGAGAAGCACCGGCUAACUCCGUGCCAGCCGCCGCCGUAA